rnacentral:ribozyme from 1 species
CACCUAUAUUCUACUUGCCUUUACGUGGCAUAGGUGAUAAGUACCAGAAAUGGGAAACUAAAAGUAGA